rnacentral:snRNA from 1 species
GAAUACAUUGUAUUCAUUUUUUUCAACAAUACAGAGAAGAUUAGCAUGGCCUCUGCCCAAGGAUGACACGCAAAUUCGUGAAGCGUUCCAAAAUUUU